UACAUAAAGACACAUGCACACAUAUGUUUAUUGCUGCACUACUCGUAAUAGCAAAGACUUGGAACCAACCCAAAUGUCCAUCAAUGAUACACUGGAUUAACAAAAUGUGGCAUAUAUACACCAUGGAAUACUAUGCAGCCAUGAAAAAGGAUGAGUCCAUCUCCUUUCUAACAACAUGGAUGAAGCUGGAAACCAUCAUUCUGAGCAAACUAUUUCAAGGACAGAUAAACACUGCAUGUUCUCACUCAUAGGUGGGAAUUCAAUGGGAAAACUUGGGACAGAGCAGGGAACAUCACUGACCAGGGCCUGUCGUGGGGUGGGGGGCAGGGGGGAGGGAUAGUAUUAAGGGAAAUACCUAAUGUCAAUGACGAGUUAAUGGGUACAGCACACCAACAUGGCACAUAUAUAUAUAUACCUGUGUGACAAACCUGCACAUUGUGCACAUGUACUCUAGAACUUAUAAUAAAAAGAAAACUUUAAGAUCAUAAGGUUGGUUAUUUCCUGGGUCACAAAUUGAGUACGUGGUCUGAUUAUAAACACAAGUUCCUAAGCAAGUCCCUGUACACCAAUAAUUAUGGUACAACAGCGUUCUGGUUAUACUGUUCCCAGACGAAGUAGUAUGUGUACAGUGAGGACACCCUUCUGUGGGUGCUUGUGUCUACAAUUGGUGGGUUUUAUGGUCUCACUGACUUCAAGAACAAAGCCGCUGACCCUUGUAGUGAGGGUUAGAGUUCUUAAAGGAUGCAUAUCUGGAGUUUGUUCCUUCUGACACUUGGAUGUGUUCAGUUUCUUCCUUCUGGUGGGGUUCGUGGUCUCGCUGGCUCAGGAGGUAAGCUGCAAACCUUCGCGGUGAAUGUUACGGCUCUUAAGGCAGGGCAUCUGGAGCUCUUCACAAAUGAGGGUCACAGCUCAUACAGGCAGUG
rnacentral:lncRNA from 1 species